rnacentral:rRNA from 1 species
UACGGAGGGUGCAAGCGUUAUCCGGAUUCACUGGGUUUAAAGGGUGCGUAGGCGGGUAAGUAAGUCCGUGGUGAAAUCUCUGAGCUUAACUCAGAAACUGCCGUGGAUACUAUUUGCCCUUGAAUAUUGUGGAGGUGAGCGGAAUAUGUCAUGUAGCGGUGAAAUGCUUAGAUAUGACAUAGAACACCAAUUGCGAAGGCAGCUCACUACACAAUCAUUGACGCUGAGGCACGAAAGCGUGGGGAUCAAACAGG